AACAAAAGUAUAAACCUUGUUGCGAUGGAUAAUUCCGUUGGAAUUGCAUUUUUAAUGGUCAGGAACCAAAACACACGAAAAUCAGAUUCCCCGCCCCCGGUUAACAUUUCUCCCGUGCACUCCCAAAUCGCGACUUCACCUUCUUUCUUCUUCUCCAUUUUCUCCCUCCCUGCACAUUAAGCAAAACCCACUAAAAAAACCAUCCUACCCGGCUGUCUCUUCCACCGAAAACCACCACUAACAGCGGAGACUCCACCGAUUUGGCGACAGCGGAAGCAAAACCCACUCAUCGUCGUGCAUGACUCGCGAUUUAGUGGUUCCAGUUCAAAAAGUGCGAUUUUUGAAAUCGAUUAAGCUGCCGUUCGACAUCAAGCAAUACCACUUUGCCUAGUAGUAGUGGGUAAUCCAACUUGCCUCCUCCCCGUCCUCUCCUCCACUCGGUUGGAGUCGAUUACUGUUGGGUGCUUAGGAAUUGCUUACAUAUCACUUCUUCAAUCCCAGUUUGUAUUGGAGAGUUGACAGAAUUGGAGAUCUUGGUGGUGGAAGGUCCACGGAGUUGGGGGUUUCCUUUGCUGAUUCAGAUGCCAAGUAUAUAGGGAGGGAAAGUAUGCAAGAAGCAAUGCACCUGGGAAAUUUGGAUAUGAGUGGACCGGAGCAAUCAAUUUGGCAAGGAUAGAGCAGAUGGAAAAGCAAUUAUGCUCCAUUGGAUUCUGUCAGGUAUGGAAAGAGCAUAUGUUAGUUUAGGAUGCUAGAAUGAAUUAAUUUUGUGAAAGACAUUGGGGAUAGUGGGCAACGAUUUUCUCAUUAGUCAGAUAUUUUCAACAAGAUGACUGUCUGAGCAUGCACAAAACCAAAUUGAAAUUAUCCCAUAUGCUUUGGUUUGAUUAUGUAAUAACAGAAUAAAAUCUUGUCAGGAAAAAUAAUUCUUAUUGAACCGCCAAAAGGGGAAAACAACCAUUUCAUAGUAAUAUAGCCUCACUGUCAUUAUGUUUGCAAGCACACCCUCAUUUGCCAAAAAUAAUGCAUUCACCACAUUUAGAUACUUACUUCUAGAAUGAUAUAUAGUAUAUCUGAAAAUAUAUAUAUAUGGCUGGUUGAUGGCAUGAAUCUCCAAGUGGGUCUUUUCAGCUUCUCUAAAGUAGUCAAAAACCAAUUGACUAAUUGACUUGUCUCCCCAAUAUUACACUGAAGUUGCUCUUCCUAAACUGGUUUAUUGAAGACCAAGACCUCAGAAGCUGAUGCUGGUAAACAAAAUGCGCAGCUUGAGGCAUAUGGCAAGAACCUGUAAUUUGGAUGUGUAUUAUAUUUUUUAUGUAUUAUAUUUUUGUGCAUUUUUUUUUAUUUUGUGAAAAACCUUUUCCGAGUAAAAUUCAACGGAAAUAUUUUUUUUCAUCCAUGCAAUUUAUUUGCAGCGAUCACAACGAUAAUUCAUAAUCGUUGGGAAAAAAAUCUAUUUAUUUGUGGCCAUUUAUUAAGCUUUUGCGACGAUAUAUAUCUAUUGCCGCAAUUGAUUUUUCUCAACGAUUUAAUGGUAAACAGAAAUGUCAGUUCCGUCGUUUUUUAAGACAUUUGCGACGAAAUAAAAUCACCAGUAAAUAUAUUUUGCA